rnacentral:lncRNA from 1 species
CUACUUCUCAGUGGCCACUGGAGAGCUCUGAACCCAGCCCAGGGUCAACUGCCCGGCACUGUCAGGCAGUUCCUCUGACUCCACAGUACAUUCUAAUUGCAGUCACUGAAAUGGAAAUCAGGACACAGACAUGAGCACAUACAGAGAAAAGACUGUGCCAGGAGCAAGCUGCCAUCUGCAAGCCAAGGAGAGAGCUCUCAGAAAAAAACGAUCUUGCCGACACCUUCCUUUUGCACUUCCAGCCUCCAGGACUGUAAGAAAAGAAAUUUCUGUUGUUUAAGCCACCAAGUAGUAUUUCGUUAUAGCAGUCCAAGCAAACUAAUGCACAUAUCAAAACUACUUUAGUUUUUCCACUUUGUUGCAAACAAUUGCAAGGUGUCCAGGUUUUCUGUCUUCCCCCAGCCUGCAAGUGCUCAGAGGACACCCAACCCUAUGAUCUCAGCCAACUCAUGAAGUUUGAUUUCACAACUUAGUGAUGUCUUCCCAGUGGAAUCCUAAAUGAUAAGGAAAAUGGUAUAGAGCCAAGACUUGAACAUUAACAACCCAGGAGCACAGAAACAGCACAGUUAGCUGAGAGGCGUUAUGGAGAGAAGCAACUGAAUGCACACUGAGCGCUGUGAGAAGUCCACGACAGUGGGGAACAGCGCCCACCGUCACAAAAAGAAAGACCCUCGGCAGGUACUUUAGAGUCACGUUCAUGCUGUAAUAUGUGGGGAAGAAAGACUAUUCCAAAUGGAUCUGGCUCUUUAAAACAAGGGAAUUUUCCUUGCUCUUGGGAACCAGCAAAAUCCAGCUGCUCAUUGAACUGCCUGUCUGGAAUCUCACAAAUUUGCACCUUGAAGUUGUUAAUAAAGGACUAAGUUGAUAAUUCAAACAAA